UACGAAGGGGACUAGCGUUGUUCGGAAUUACUGGGCGUAAAGCGCACGUAGGCGGAUUUGUUAGUCAGGGGUGAAAUCCCGGGGCUCAACCUCGGAACUGCCUUUGAUACUGCAAGUCUCGAGUCCGAUAGAGGUGGGUGGAAUUCCUAGUGUAGAGGUGAAAUUCGUAGAUAUUAGGAAGAACACCGGUGGCGAAGGCGGCAUCCUGGAUUGGUAUUGACGCUGAGGAGCGAAAGCUAGGGGAGCAAACGGG
rnacentral:rRNA from 1 species